ensembl:lncRNA
UGAAUCCUGAAUACUCCUGACCUGCAAACUGCCAAAACAUCUGCUUUCAUAGAGGUGCUGAUAUCUGCUGAUGGUCAUUUACUUAAAUGCUUUUGAUUAGCAGCACCUGGCUGCUACUUAGCCUCUCAAUUGAAAUGAAAGCAGGUUUUCACACACUGCAUUUUGGCUCAGUUUGUUCAUUUUUUUUAUUUUUUUUUUAAAUUUUGUCUUCAUAUCUCAAACCUUUUAACUGGAAGAGGUUGUCAUAGACUGGCUGUUAUUUAAAAACGCUAGCUCUUACUGUUACUCUUACUUACUCUUAAUGUUAUCCUACAGUCUCAGGUUGUAGCUCGAAAUUCAGAUUUUUGCUUCUAGUUUAGUUUAAAUGCUCGCACUUAGAACUGUGUUAGAAACAGAUGUCUUAAACCGGUUAAAGUUGCAUGACUUUAGUUGUCUGUGCUCUUCAAUCUUCCCUGCAGCCAUGAUGAUGCUGACUCACUCGCUCGUGAGUACAUGAAACACAGAGAGCGUCAGCGAGGGAAAACCCUGACAAAUGGCUCGUUGUCAUCCAGCUGCCUGAAGGACUUUCUUAACAUGCAACACGGAGUAUUGAGAUGAACCAGCACUGUUGCUUCAGCCGUGUUUAUAUAAUCCUCCUUGGUCUGCUUUAGGCUGAGAUGCAGUAUUUGCACUUCACAUUUAUCUUUCAGCUGUAAUAUUUGAAUAAACUAUUCAUUUAUGAAAACUGUGGAGAUGAGCUAUUUAGAAGCAGCAGAUCACAUGUCAACUUUUAUUUUCCACUGUAACUCCAAGUUUGUUUCCUAGGAUGUGUAUUGAGUUUAACUGUUGAUUUUCAUUGCACAGCCACACUUUGUACAAUAUUUUGAAGCUAAAGUACUGUCGCACAUCGGUUCUAAAAGAAAGAGGAGCAGUAAUCCUAAUAAAUGAUGUACACUGUGUUGCCAAAAGUAUCAGCUCAUCUGCCGUCACACACAUUAAGGAACAAACCAAUCUUACUUCAUGGAAUUUUAUACGAUGUUGGCCGAACCUUUGCAGCUAUAACUUCAACUCUUCUGAAAAGGCUUUGUAAAAGAUUUAGAGGUGUUUAUGGGAUUUAUGGGAGUCAAGUUCUUCCACACCAAACUCGGUCAUCCAGCUCCCACAGGGCGAGAGGCAGGGUUCACCCUGAACAGGUCACCAAUCUGACGCAGGGCUAAGACAACCAUUUGCACCGAUGGGCAGUUUAGAAUCUAACCCCACUAACUGCAUGUCUUUGGACUGUGGGAGGAAGCCGGAGUACUCAGAGAGAAAAUAUGAACUCCACCCAGAAAGGUCCCGACCAGAUGGUGGUUUCGAACGCGGGACCUACUUGCUGUGCUCACAUUUUCCUAAAGUUAUUUCUGUUUUCUUUUUAAAUACUUGUUACUUUCACAUUUAUAUGAAACAGCUUCCUUAUCUCAGUCGUACUUCUUUGGUUCAUCAACUUUUUUUUUUAAACACUGGUCUUGUUUCUGAUGGACUACUUCCCGUCACUCGCUGUUAGACGUGACUGUGUGAUAUUUGAGAGGAAGUGUGCACUCACAGUGAGACCGAUCCGAGCUGAACUUUAUCCAUUCUGAAUUUUUCAAAAGAUUUAUACAGUUUGGUCCUCCAGUUUUUUCUUCUCCUUUGCAGCUGUCACUCAUUCAAGUGUGCAGAGAUUAUGUAUCACGUUUGCCCAUCAAGAACGCUCAGCAAGUUUACUUGUUAGUGGUUUAGCCACACAUGGUGUGCCUUUAAAUGGACUUAUAGAGCUCAUCUGUUCCCAGAGAGGAGCGCAUUAAAUUAAUGUCACGAGACUUCCUUUUCAAACUCACUUGCCUCAUGGGAAACGGAAGACUUUGUAUUCUCUGCGUGGCUUUGUGUUAAAAUGACGGUUUCAUUUUCAUCUAAAAUGUAAGUGAAAAAAAAAAUAAACAAAAAAUAAAAUAAAAUGGCCAUUAUGUGAAACUGGUGUCCAGAUUUAGUCCGGUCCUUGUUCAAGGAACCUAACUCAAGGUAUGAAUCAGUGUUGCCCUAGCAUUAUAGACAACUUGCCAAAGAACCAUGUUUAAAUUGUGUCUUUUGGGACUUUGUUACUAGAAGCAAAAACUAAGAAUUUGUUCCUAUUUUUUCAGUUUAAUCAAAGAAAGGUCAAUAUACUAACACAGUUUGACAGACUCCCUUGUCUAAGAAAGACCAGACUGUGCUUCAAUAAAUCGGUGGAUGCAUUUUUCUGCAAAAGAUUUUUUUUAAAUUGAGGGGUGGAUCAAGACUUUUGCAUAGUGUUCUACAGAUUGUGUUCAUGUAUGCAAAAAGGUCUGAGAAAUAUGAGAUUAAAUAUGUGUUUAUACACUCAAACUGUUGCCCCUCAGAAAACAUUAUAUAAAGAUAUAUAAACCAAUGCAUGUUUUUAAAUGCAAUUUGUAUCAUUUAUGUGUUUUCAAUGAUUCAAGGACUUGUUUAAGCUGCACAAGAACCAUAAUUUUAGCUGCGUGUGAAUUAAAUGAGAAGAAAUGGCUUGUUUCUCA